rnacentral:rRNA from 1 species
AUUGAACGCUGGCGGCAGGCCUAACACAUGCAAGUCGAGCGGCAGCGGGUCCUUCGGGAUGCCGGCGAGCGGCGGACGGGUGAGUAAUGCCUAGGAAUCUGCCUGGUAGUGGGGGAUAACGUUCGGAAACGGACGCUAAUACCGCAUACGUCCUACGGGAGAAAGUGGGGGAUCUUCGGACCUCACGCUAUCAGAUGAGCCUAGGUCGGAUUAGCUAGUUGGUGGGGUAAAGGCUCACCAAGGCGACGAUCCGUAACUGGUCUGAGAGGAUGAUCAGUAACACUGGAACUGAGACACGGUCCAGACUCCUACGGGAGGCAGCAGUGGGGAAUAUUGGACAAUGGGCGAAAGCCUGAUCCAGCCAUGCCGCGUGUGUGAAGAAGGUCUUCGGAUUGUAAGGCACUUUAAGUUGGGAGGAAGGGCAAUAAGUUAAUACCUUGCUGUUUUGACGUUACCAACAGAAUAAGCACCGGCUAACUUCGUGCCAGCCGCCGCGGUAAGAC